rnacentral:rRNA from 1 species
GAUGAACGCUGGCGGCGUGCUUAACACAUGCAAGUCGAACGGACCAAUAGGAGCUUGCUCCUUGCGGUUAGUGGCGGACGGGUGAGUAACGCGUGGGUAAUCUGCCUUAUACUAAGGAAUAACACAAAGAAAUUUGUGCUAAAGCCUUAUAAGCUUACACUAUCUUAUGAUAGAGUAAGAAAAACUUUAGUGGUAUAAGAUGAGCCCGCGUCCGAUUAGCUAGUUGGUAGGAUAACAGCCUACCAAGGCGACGAUCGGUAACCGGCCUGAGAGGGUGACCGGUCACACUGGGACUGAGACACGGCCCAGACUCCUACGGGAGGCAG